CUGCACGAUGCACCCCGGGCUUCUCUGAGAUAACCUAUGACGCGAAAGCCCCAUUGCACGUGCUAGAUCGCCGCCGUUCGUGUUGCAGUUCAGCCCCUUUUUCCUUCACGGCUGAUCUGUGUCAAAGCAACGGCAAAAUCC